rnacentral:siRNA from 1 species
GGUAACAGAUAUUGGGUAGCUAC